rnacentral:rRNA from 1 species
CGACGGGACCCGCACAAGCGGUGAUGAUGUGGAUUAAUUCGAUGCAACGCGAAAACCUUACCUACCCUUGACAUGUCUGGAAUCCCGAAGAGAUUUGGGAGUGCUCGCAAGAGAACCGGAACACAGGUGCUGCAUGGCUGUCGUCAGCUCGUGUCGUGAGAUGUUGGGUUAAGUCCCGCAACGAGCGCAACCCUUGUCAUUAGUUGCUACGAAAGGGCACUCUAAUGAGACUGCCGGUGACAAACCGGAGGAAGGUGGGGAUGACGUCAAGUCCUCAUGGCCCUUAUGGGUAGGGCUUCACACGUCAUACAAUGGUCGGGACAGAGGGUCGCCAACCCGCGAGGGGGAGCCAAUCCCAGAAACCCGAUCGUAGUCCGGAUUGUAGUCUGCAACUCGACUACAUGAAGUCGGAAUCGCUAGUAAUCGCGGAUCAGAAUGUCGCGGUGAAUACGUUCCCGGGUCUU